AACCGGAUUAGAUACCCUGGUAGUCCACGCCCUAAACGAUGUCUACUAGUUGUCGGGUUUUAAUUAACUUGGUAACGCAGCUAACGCGUGAAGUAGACCGCCUGGGGAGUACGGUCGCGAGAUUAAAACUCAAAGGAAUUGACGGGGACCCGCACAAGCGGUGGAUGAUGUGGAUUAAUUCGAUGCAACGCGAAAAACCUUACCUACCCUUGACGUGUACGGAAGACCGAAGAGAUUUGGUUGUGCUCGAAAGAGAGCCGUAACACAGGUGCUGCAUGGCUGUCGUCAGCUCGUGUCGUGAGAUGUUGGGUUAAGUCCCGCAACGAGCGCAACCCUUGUCAUUAGUUGCUACAUUUAGUUGAGCACUCUAAUGAGACUGCCGGUGACAAACCGGAGGAAGGUGGGGAUGACGUCAAGUCCUCAUGGCCCUUAUGGGUAGGGCUUCACACGUCAUACAAUGGUACAUACAGAGGGCCGCCAACCCGCGAGGGGGAGCUAAUCCCAGAAAGUGUAUCGUAGUCCGGAUCGCAGUCUGCAACU
rnacentral:rRNA from 1 species